UAGUAACGGCGAGUGAACAGGGAACAAGCUCAAAGUUGGAAUCUAUCUGGCUUAGCCAGAUCGAAUUGUAAACUUUAGAGUCGUUGUCCAGACCAGCCGAGUAAAUAAGUUCCUUGGAAUAGGACAUCAUGGAGGGUGAGAAUCCCGUCUUUGGCUUGAGCAUUGGUCUUUUGUGAUGCGACUUCAACGAGUCAGGUUGUUUGGGAAUGCAGCCUUAAUUGGGUGGUAAAUCUCACCUAAAGCUAAAUAUUGGCGAGAGACCGAUAGCGAACAAGUACCGUGAGGGAAAGAUGAAAAGAACUUUGAAAAGAGAGUUAAACAGUAUGUGAAAUUGCUAAAAGGGAACCGUUUGAAGUCAGUCUGGCUGGUCUGCAAUCAGCUUCAAUCUUGGUUGGAGUGCACUUGUAGGCCAUUUUUUUGCCUGCCAACAACAGUUUGUUCUGCAGCAAAAAGGUGUUGAGAAUGUGGCUUUCUCUUCGGAGGAAGUGUUAUAGCUCUUCGCGAAAUACUGUGGUUCAGACUGAGGCUUGCAGUGAAUGCUAUUUGGGCUUUGGGGAUGGAUUGCUCAGUGCUUUGCUUGGUUAGUUUCGGCCGUCAAACGUCGUGCUGGCCAAGUGAAGUCUGACUCGGUUCAUUCACUUUUAAUUCACUUUGGUUGUUGGCUUAAGAC
rnacentral:rRNA from 1 species